GUAUUACCACUUAACCAAUAGUGACCACAUUAAUACUUAUGCUGGUGAAUGCCAUGGGCAGGGCUUAGGGCACUCCAGUCAGUGAACUCAGCACAGGCGUCUUGCUCUGAACACAUGCAGGCCUGGGCACAGCCGAAGUGGGGCCCAGGAGAAAGCUGGUCGUGAUGUGCUAAAGCCCCUUUGCUUUCCCAGAGAAGGAUCUGCAAGCAGGGUCUUUGCUGGUAACCAAGCGGAGCAUUGUCCCCCUAGAGAAACUCCCUGAUUGAGGGGCCAUGGCACGCCCCUGCUCUUCUGUGGCCUUCUGUGUCCUCAUCUGUAUUUGGGGCUCCCACUACGUCUCUCAGGAUUGGUGACAAGAUUAAAUGAGAGUAUAUGAGACUUGGCGUACUUUCCCCCAGGGAUUCCAUAAAGCAGUCCCAUUGGAAGCUCUUGCAUUUGGAGAUUUCCAGUGAUGUUUCUACUUCAUCAUUCACAUCCCUUCCUGGAAACAUGGAUGUGGUGGCACUGGACCAGGAGUGUGCCUACGCUGGGCAUGAAGCCAAGUCCAGAAGUUGGCAUCCAAGAUCAGAAGACAUGACCAGUGCAUUGAUCUGGAAUGCCUGGCCAAGAGCCUGAACUCAGAACCCAGCAGCAGAAUGGACAGUAGUCUCAAGAGCCAACAUGGGGAGGUUCAAGAUGAGGGCAGGAGGGGUAUCCUGGGCACUUGUAUAGGGCAGCCACUGUCUUGCCCAAGGAAGAGAAGGAGGCUGUGUUUGGUACCAGGUGAGUGGGAAACGCCAGUGUGUGCAUGACCCAUGAUAAUUCCUCCACCAAGAUUGUCAAUUGGUAAUAAAUCUGGGGAGAUUUUGCUGAGAAAAGUGGCCAGAGAGAGCAAAGGCAAGAAUGUUAGAGAUUCUUAGGUUUUAGUAGAAAGAGCAUAGUUUGAAGCCAGAUGACCUUGCGUUUAAAUCUCUGAUUUGACUUUGAUGAAUGACACAGUCUUGAUUAUGGUCACUGUAAGUAAUCUGUUCGACGGGCACGAUAACACCUACUACAAGUUUUUGUAAAACUUAUGUGAGCCAAGUGUAGAAAAUGCCCAGAAGAGGGGCUGGCUCGUACUAGGUGGCCCAUAAGUGUUCAUUCCCUGACAUUCACCUUCUCCCUUUCCCCUUAAAAGCAAUGGAAGCCUGGCUGAAGACUGGGGCAGGAGGGUUGGGAGUGAAUUUGGAGGCAGAGAGAGUCUCUGAGACUCUGUCAUUGGGGACUGACAUCCAAGCUGGUGUAAUUCAAGAAGUGCCAGGAGACCCCACCCACUCAGGAAAUCCCCACCAGCCAGAUGGUGACUUGUGGGGUGUAACUUAAUAACCUCCUGGAUUAAGGGCCUUAACAAUGAUUGGUGGCUGUAGGAUGGUUGGGGGGUCCGCAGAUUUAGCCACUGUGUGCAGAGAAGCACACACAGAUAGAGCUCUCAGGGCAAGCUCGGCGGGCCAGGUCGAGAAGGCUGAUCCUUGGAGUUUUCCUGCUGUUGUGGAGUGUGGAGCCCUGGGCUUUGCCAGGACAGAUGGCAGCUGACUCAGAAAUUGGAAUGAGUUGUCUGUGGAUCCUGUAAGGAGCCUGGACAUGGUGAAGAGAAUGCCUUGACCAUCAGGAGACAGCUUAGCUUGUUGAAUCUUGAUCACUUCUUCUGACCGCUUUGGAUCUUAAAAGAACAAGGGAUGAUGGUGACUUAUGGUGACAACCAAGAACAGGCUUCAGAAAGAAAGCAGCUGUGUAGCUAUGGCCAAAUUGAACUUCUUGAGUCGGUGUCCUCGCUUGUAAAAUGGACAAUUCUACUGAAGGAAAUUGAAGGUCUUACCGACUCCAUCCAAGGAAUUGACAAGAGAUCCCCAAGAAGGUUGCAUAGAGCGAGAUUCACCUUCAGUGCUGUGAUCAUUGUUCAACUGUGCAAAAGAUUGUCACUGAGGAGUGGGAUUGUUGUGAUCUCAGGAUGUGAACUCAAAACCAAUGGAAGGAAAAAAUUGAGCUCUGGAAAUUUUUGUGGAAGAAUAAAGGCUGCCUCACAGAGGAGUGAGCUUUCUGUCAUGACAUAAUUCUACAGGUCGAGGAGUUUCGCAGACAUAACUCCUUGGGAGCAGUGCCCAGGUCAAGAAAGAAAAUGUGGCCAAUGCCCCAGGAUCUUAUUUGGUCAUCCAGGCUGGACUGCAGUGGUGUGAUCAUAGCUCACUGCAGCCUCAAACUGCUGGACUCCAGUGAUCUUCCAGCCUCAGCCUCCCCCGGUAGCAAGGACUACAGGGUCCCAGAAGGAACCAACGCUGCCCACACCUUAAUUUGAGACUUCUGGCCUCUGAGAAAUGAGAAAGAGUCUCACUCUCUGUCGCCCAGCCUGGAGUGCAGUGGCAUCAUCUGAGCUCACUACAACCUCCGCCUCCCGGGUUCAAGCGAUUCUCCUGCCUCAGCCUCCUGAGUAGCUGGGACUACAGGCACGCGCCACCACGCCCAGCUAAUUUUCGUAUUUUUAAUAGACAUGGGGUUUCACCAUGUUGGCCAGGCUGCUCUUGAACUGCUAACCUCAAGUGAUCCACCAGCGUUGGCCUCUCAAAGUACUAGGAUUACAGUGCUAGGAGCCACCAUGCCCGGCCGCCUCUCUUUUCUUUUACACAUGAAGAAAAAGUGGUCAGAGAAGUUAACUUGGUCAGUGCCAAAAGCACUGGAAGUGAGUAGGACCAAGCUUUUCAUCUAGAUUUGUUUGUUAGACUCUAAAUCCAAAUUCACAACAAGAUCAGAAUAUGAGAAACCUAAGGAACAAAAUUCUAGGAAUCAUUUCUAGAAACUGUGGCUAUUGAAAAAGCACAGACCUAGGGAAUCAAAUUAUUUUCCCUGCCACCAGCACAUGGGUAGGCCUGUGACAAAUUCCAUGCUCUGGACCCCAGAUUCCUCAGUGAGAAUAGAAGGGGCUAGAGACAUCAGGGAAUUGGAUUUGGUGACUUUAAUACCCACUCAGCUCCAAAGCAUUCUUGAAUGAUGCACGAUUUAUGAAUAUAUAUAUUGAAAUUUACUGAUGGGUGAACAGCUCUCAACAUGAGAUUUUUGUUGUAUGCCUUAAAAAAGAUUAUACAUAAAUAUGCGUGUGUGUGUGUAUGUAUGUUUCGAUGUAUAUGAACCCAUGAUCUGAAAAAUGGCCACUGUGGCUUGUGGAAACCUAUUAAUCUCUGCUGUUCCACCCAACAUCCUCAGAGAAAAAAAUAAACAACUUUUUGAAAGUGCUGCCAUGGGGUCAGACCAAAUACUGUGGCCACUUCCAAGGGGUUUGCCUUGAUUUGCCUGGAUUCCUGUUCAUGUGACAUCUGCCUUCUAAUUCAAGGAUAUGAUCAAUUCAAUGUGUGAGUUAUCAAUCAAGGACUGGCAACAGUGAUGCUGAACAAGCCUGGUGGAAGGAAAGAGAAGGCAGGCCAGAGCCCAGACAGACGCAUUCACAAACCUUACAAAGAGGACAGGCUAAUUAGGGGCUGUAGUUCUCCCUCUCUUUAUAGUUGGUAUAAGAGGAGUGGUAAUCGUAGUGUCCAAAAAUAUAUGGGCUACAUAGUUGCUUAGUAAGCUGUGGGUAUGUGGUUUCUUCUGCAAGGUGCUUUCUUUCUGAUAAAGAGAUUACGUUGUUUGUUUGUUCAUUUAUUGAACAUAUUUACACUUACACACACACACACACACACACACAAUGUUCCAGAUACCGUACUUGGCAAUGGUAGUUAGACCUUGCUCUUGCAAAAUUUAUAAUGAAGUUGGGAAGUGUGGUUUGAUCCCUCAAAGUGUCCAAAUCCUAAUCCCCAG
rnacentral:lncRNA from 1 species